rnacentral:lncRNA from 1 species
UUUGAAGGAUCUCCAAGUCUUCGCAAAUUCAGUCCGAUAAUUGAUCGUAAACUACGCAUCCUGAAGAGUAGUGAAACCAACGGAGCACGAAAUGGACCAGCUUCCCCACUGGCUCUUUUAAAGGCAGCUAAAGACAGAGAAAAACAUAGAUCGAGUCACCCUCCGUCACGGGAAAACAGCAGCAAGGCGCAUGAGCAGCCAAGUGCAAGCAUUCACCCGAGUGACUCGAGUCCCAAUUCCUUUAUCGUCACCCCAAGGUCCAGCUCAUCCUCUUCUCCAUCAUCUCUAGAAAGAAUGCAGGAGAGUCUAAAGUUUGUCAGUCCUGCAGUACAUACGCAAACAAUUCAGACUCCAGAAAAAUCCAGCAGCCCUGCUGUGGUCAAGGAUCAGAUACCAUCCGCCAGUUCAGCUCUCAGUAGGAUGGCUGCAUCCCUAAGUAAGACCAACCUGGUUGAGCAGAAACAAAAUUCUGUGCAAAGCCCCUCAAAGUCUGAAUCCACAACGCCUGAGGAGUUAAGUAUGCCAUUAAUUCCUCCGCCGCCAGAGUUUGAUGAUUUUGACAAGUUUAUGGAGCCCCCUCCUUCCAUCCCUCCGCCUGACCCUCCCAUGAAAAAGGCACCAACACCACAUAUGAUCCCUCUCCCUCCAUCUCAAGUUCCACCCCCUCCUCCAAAGCCCAAACCCCCAGCAGCUCCAAAACUCCCACCUCCUGACAUCGUCAAACCAAAGCUGCAACCCCAGACAAAACCCAAGGCAGCCCCUUCUCAGCUACCAUCCACUCUUUCCCCCAGCCAGGCCACACUCCUGAGCAUCUUACAAAAGAAGAUGUUAGAAAUGGACCACAAAAUGGACCCAGUGAAGGAUGCAGAGUCCAGUUCUGAUGACUGGGGCACCCACUUACCCGAGGAAGAAAAUAAGGUCCCCGUUGUCCCCAGAGCCACACCGCAGAGUAGGAAUUACUCUGUGGUCAACAAAGCAGCAACCCUGAACAUGCAGGAGCUGGAGGGUAAAUUGGUCAGAAAAUAUCAGGAGUCCUCUUCAGUGAAAGUUCCCAACAGCAACGGAACGCAGUCAAAACAUCACACUGGUAUGACCUUUACAGUUCGACCUGGAACCAAACAGCCCAUUACUCUCGUCAGUAAUGGGGAUCCUUAAUGAGACACGUUAAUGAGAGAGGGGUUCUUCUGUUUAGCACACAUUGCAUGAGAUCGGAUAAUGUGAUCUUGCAUCAGAAGGAAUAUGUACAAUGGGGAGAAAAAAGCACUUUGAACAAAUGUGGUUAGCAAAAAUGUUUUUAUAACAAUGGUCUGCUCAGUUCUGAAUGUACUCUGAAUGCAUUUCUCAAUCUUUGGAGAGCACACCAUCACGUUUUCUUUUGUAUUUUCUUUUUUAAGUAUUUUUAAACGUUUUGUUUAGCUGCUGCUGUUUAUUCAGGGUAGAGGUAUAUAUUGCAUAUGUUGCCUUUGUAACAAAAGCUUUUAAAGUCAAAAUGCCACAUGGGUAAAAUUCAUAAGAAAAUAGUCAUUACACUAUAAAUUCCUGAAUAAAAUCUGACAUUUAUUUGUAACCUUGAUUGUAAAACACAAUAAUAAUGUACACUAUAAUUAUUGUGGUUCAUGCUGUCCCAUAACAGAAAUGUUCUUUCACUGUUACAUGUACAUUAUGUAGGUUCACUGGAACAAUAAUUCAUCAUUCAGACAAGUGCGUUUCAGUAGCUUUGUUUCUCAUAUUUAUUGAUCUACGAAAUGUUUGCCAUCUGUAUAAUAGUUACUUUUCUGCAGUAAAAUGUGUUUCAAUGCAUCUAUACUAAUGCUGUAUAUAAGAUUAUAACAGAACUUAAUAUUGUAAGAUGUUUUAUGUACAUGUAAGGUUGUAUAAUCAAAAUAUUUAAAAAACAGAGGUUAUAAAGUCUUUAAGCAGAGAUGUUCAUCUAAACGGUGUCCUACAACUAACUGGAAAAUAAAUUUAAG